AGAGUUUGAUCAUGGCUCAGGAUGAACGCUAGCGGUGCGCCUAACACAUGCAAGUCGCGCGAUCGAACCGAACCAAUUACCCUUCGGGGUAAGCGGAUCGGCAACGGAGCGGCGGACUGGUGAGUAACACGUGGCUAACCUACCCUCUUGACGAGAAUAACCCUUCGAAAGGAUGGCUAAUACUCGACGUUGUUUAAGUUCGAUGGAUCCUAAACCAAAGGCGGUUCUGCCGUCGCAAGAGGAGGGGGCUGCGCCCUAUUAGCUUGUUGGUGAGGUAACGGCUCACCAAGGCAAUGAUGGGUAGCUGGUCUGAGAAGAUGAUCAGCCUCAUUGGGACUGAAAUACGGCCCAGACUCCUACGGGAGGCAGCAGUGGGGAAUCUUUCGCAAUGGACGAAAGUCUGACGGAGCGACACCGCGUGAGGGAUGAAUGCUUUCGAGUUGUAAACCUCUUUUCUGGGGGAAGAAUAAGGUCGCGAGGAAAUGCGCGUCCGAUGACGGUACCUCAGGAAUAAGCAUCGGCUAACUUCGUGCCAGCAGCCGCGGUAAUACGAAGGAUGCAAGCGUUAUCCGGAAUUACUGGGCGUAAAGGGCGUCUAGGCGGUUGAGCAAGUCACCUGUAAAAGUCCACGGCUUAACUGUGGAAUGUCUGGUGAUACUGUUUGACUUGGGUACAGGAGAGGAGGGUGGAACUCACAGAGUAGCGGUGGAAUGCGUAGAUACUGUGAGGUACCCCGAUGGCGAAGGCAACCCUCUGGCCUGUUACCGACGCUGAAGCGCGAAAGCGUGGGGAGCGAAGGGGAUUAGAUACCCCCGUAGUCCACGCCGCAAACGAUGUUCACUGGGUGUCGGUCAUUAAUUAGAUCGGUGCCGGAGUUAACGCAUUAAGUGAACCGCCUGGGGACUACGGC
rnacentral:rRNA from 1 species